rfam:Salmo salar isolate Sally breed double haploid chromosome ssa03, whole genome shotgun sequence.
UGUAUUCACUACUGUAAGUCGCUCUGGAUAAGAGCAUCUACUAAAUCACAAGGA